GUGGUUGCUGUGGCAGUGCUUAUACUAAAAUUGGAAUGAUGCAGAGAAGAUGAGCAAGGCCUGUGCAAGAAUAAUAUUCUAUUCUUGUAAGGGAAAAACUUCAU
ensembl:snRNA U6 U6 spliceosomal RNA